CAAGAAAAGGGCGGGACCAGGGGUCAGCAGAGAAACCAUGUUCCAAUUCUCAUCUUAGCAAUGAGCUUGUGGGCAUUCUUGGGACACAGAGAUCUUCCAGAGGAAAGAGUAAUUAAACAACCAAAAUCGUCAAAAAUAAUGGAUUUGGAGACUGAGAAAAUGCAAAAAGCCACUAUGCCCUUUGCACCUGAUGUGUUGUAUCUCAUUUAAUCUUCAAAACCACCCGCUGAGGCCUACGCAGGGUGUUAUUCCAGGGACCCACCAGGAGGAGCCUCCUCACUGAAUGCAAACGCACCGCAUCAUCUUUCUUACUUAAAGACAAUUUGGUUGUUCGCCUAACUAGCUGAUUUUGUGAUUUAAACACUUGGCAGGGAA